GGUCCAGGAUCUAGAUGGAUUCGAGGAGGGCGAGGUAGAGUACGCGGUGCAGAUAGUGCCAGACCCGCGGGACACCCCACACGGAUUCGGCCCGGGACAUUGUCUCCGGUGCACCGCGGAGCGCUUCUGUUCGGUCCUGUGCAAGGCAUUCUCGCUCGACUGGCUGGGACGGAACCCCAUGGCCUUCAUUGGAGUCUGAAGAGCGAGGACGCUUUGCAACCGGACGCCAAGUCAACGAGGAUUAGUUUUUUAAUUUUCCUUUUGAUGAGGUGGUCAAACAGGGAUUAUGGGCAUGUGUUCUAUUUUGAGGUGGUCAAACAGGGAUUAUGGGCAUGUGUUGGGUUUAAUUAGAUGUCUGUUAGGGAUAUGAUGGAAUUCUACUUUGGUUAUGGAUAACUGGCCGGUUAUUUUUUGAUUAAUUGGCAAUUUCCUUGGAUUUAUUUGUUUAUUGUGCGAGGGGAUUAAUUUUUUGGAUUUUUUUGAAAUUUAUUUUUAAAUUGCAAAAUUCCCCUUCUGAUUCUCCUCCGCCGCCGGUGGAUCGACGUCCGGCGGACGGAACGGAAUCCAUUGGCGGCCCCCACCAGUCGGAGCUGACUAGGCAAGAAAGGUCCUCGCCGGCAGCUUGACUUGGUCUCCUCUCUCUCUCUCGCCCACCCCCUCUCUCUCUCGCGCGCGCAUUACAACAAGCACCUUGCGUGCAUCAGCAACAGCCGGGGAGGGAGCCGCGACCACCGCCGACUACGGGACCACGGCGGAAUGAUCGCCGUGGUAGCCGGAGCCAUCGUCGAGUUAGGAGGGGGUGCUGCCGCUCCCGGAGAUCCACCUCCCGCGGGGUCCUCGCCGUCAACCAGUACCCCCGCGCGCGCAUGCACGCGCUGAUCGCCGCCUCCAGCUUCCGCGACAUGGGCGACGCGCCGCCCUCCUUUCCGGGGAAGCGCCCCUUCAAGCUCGCCCUCGAUGGCGACACGAGGUGUACAGGAACUUCCUGCACGCGUUCGAGCGGAUGCUGGAGUCCCGGGGUAUCGUCCCGACGACCACGGUGGUCGCCGGCCGCGGCAAGGAGAGCCCGGGCCGGCCCCUGCUUCCACAUGCUCCGGACGCCACCGAGGUCCCCAACCUCCUUCCUCCUUCGUGCUCCUGCACCGUUCCGCGACUACCUCCGCUCGGUGCGGCCCUCGUCCUCAACAUGUUCUGCGACUGCGUGCACGCCGUCGACGAGCUCGGCGUGCCUGCCUACGGCAGUGAUCCGCCGAGUUCGGAGCUCGCGGGGAGGACGGGGACGGGAACUUGGACUGCUGCGCUCUGGACAAUACGUUGCUGCUACUGCGCUGUCAUGCCCGCGAGGUGCUUGUUGUAAUGCCCAUGAGAGAAAGAGGAUGAGACGGCGGAAGAAACAGUCAAAACUGCCGCGCUGUUGUGUGCCGCCGCAGAAGUGCCACGGAUUUGUAGAAAUGGAGACGAUGCAGGAGGAGUUCAGCGAGCACGACGAACUCAUUCACCAAAUGGCAGAUAUACUGUACACUGAGAACAUGUCUAGAUGAAUAGGUUGAUUCUAUGGCCUGAAGUGAAAAGCUUCACCCUUCACUGUUUUGAUCUGCACGGACUAUACGGUUUCGUGAGGAAUCAAGUCUCCUUUCUCUAUUUCAUCAUAAGGUCAAAUAAACAGUUUACCAAGUCUACUAAUAGACUGUGGGAUUCUUUGCUUCCAAGAGAUGAACCUAAACUUGCAAUUAUCUACUAUUGCUCAUUCCCGAACACAUAUCUAAGUAGUGGUCUAAACUUGCAAAAUCCUCUGUGCUCCUCCCCCCUCCUUAUUUUGUUCUGCUCUCUUGACUAACUGGACCUUGGUAUUGGUGUGGUUAUGUAAUGUGUAUUAAGCAUGCAGGAUGCUGUGUAUUGUGCUAUAUUAAGGCAUGCAUUUGGGACUCCAUUUUCCAACACGGUGACUCUUAUAGAUGUUUUCAUCUGCAAGACACUACAGCGAAUGAUCUGUUUUGUACAGAAUAUGAGGGUUGCAGGCUUGGAAGAUUUCUUUAUGAGACACUGAAGAUGACCUACUACUGGAAGGCAGCUUAUCGGUAUUCGAUUCAAAGUGAUGAAUAAAUAAAUAUAUGAGCCGGAAUGUGGUAAUAAGCCGGGAUUUGCUGUAUACUUCAGAUAUCAAAAUAGUCAAUGUGUAUCUUAUCCUCAGUUCUCUAAAGUAUGCUUUACACACUGUUUGAAGUUAUGUUUAUCACAUAAUUUAGCUAUGUAUGUUUGUCAUUUCUUCAGUAUAACUUAGUCCUAAAAAUUGUAGAAAUAGUGCUCGAAACAUAGAUAGCCUGUUUUGUGCUUAGAUCGCCAUUUCUAAAAUUUUAGGACUAAGUUGUACUCAAAUUGCAUGUAGGGUGAUGGCAAUUCGUAGGAGUUCCUAGGGGUGAUUUGUAGUAUAAAAGCACAAUCUGGCGCACAAGUAAGGUUCUUUUUGGGCAUGGAAUCAACCUGGAAAAUAUAUCUAUUAUGUUGUUUAUGGAGUGUUGCCACCUUUUAAAAUAACUUCAAAUAAUAAAGUAUAUAUUAUAUUAAAAAGAAACAAAAAUGAACCCUUUCUAUGUAUUGACAUUUACAACUUUUUCACAAGUGCAUUGCGAACAUUUUCUGAAUUUCUCACAUUGAUUUGAUACCCAAACCAAAAGCUUCUGCACUACAUAUGUCCCCAACAGAGGCCUCAUAGAUGUGCAUAUAAACAAUAAAUUCAGUUUUGUCUUAGUUCAGGAGUUACUGUGAGGAAUAUACUAGUACACAAAACUAUGUUUAGCAACCAACUCUUAACUCUUUAGGGUGAAUUUUUGGCACAUCAGAUAUUGAUGGACUAGUCAAUGGGUUUACAAUUUUUCAAAUGAACUUCACAAAUUCACAUGGCGUCUCCAAUGCUCACAAAAUAGUACAUUGUGUGAGCAUGCUAGUUCCUAUAUAUGAAUACUUCCCCUUAAUUCCGCACAUAGAGGACAUAUAGGAAUAAAAUAUUUCUACUCCUUGUAGUAUCUGAGUCGAUACAUUUGCAAAAAUGUGUGAAGAUAGCUCAAGCUGUUACAGUGGCAAAAAAUGUGGCAAGAUAGCGCAUUCUGUUGCAUUUGCAAAAAUGUGGCAAGAUAGCUCAUUCUUGUAAGGAAGCCCGGUGUUGCUUCUCAUGCCAAACGUCUUGUGGUUCGGUUCUUGAAUUGUGUUGCUGUCCUAUCAUGCAGUUUUUUUAGAAUUUCAGAUGUGCAGCUGGUGCUGCAUGUGCUAGACUUGUUGGCUUUAUUGAGCUGAAAAUUUGGUCAUGUGAGCUGUGCAACACAAGUGUAGUGGCUACCUCUUUAGUGAAAUGUUCAUACCUGCAAGUUUUCAAUAAUGUGUAAAUGUACAUGUACAUGUACAAAAUGAUCCACUGCAUAUACUUUUUAUUCAUAUGCAUCUGCCCAUUUUUCUUGGUGACAUUUCUGUUUCUUGAAUCCAGGUAUAUAAAUUCAGCAUGGUUUCAUGGACCCUAGUAUCUAUUACUGUCAUCUGCUACUUUGUUCUUUAUAUUUUAUUCACGCCACCUGAAUUAACAGAGAAAAUCAUAAGUGAAGGUUCAUUGAAAAUGAAGUGGAAGAAUUACCAAGGUGCUUAAUCAAUGUAUGGAAUCGAAAGAAUACAUGGAAAUCAGAAAUGCCCUUAUUGUGCUCAGAAAGAUUACUAGUAUAUUUCCUGUGAUUCGAAAAAGUGGUAUCAACCUCGAGAAAAGGGUAAAUACAUCAUUACUCACCAUUUAUGAUAUGCUGCUGGCCUAAAGGGGAACAAGAGGGAUGAUCUGAAAGUACUGACAAUUGGUGUACCUGCUGCUCUCAAGGAAAUUAAUCUGCAGAUCUCUUAGCAGCAAAAGAUCAUAGCGUUCAUGCAAAAUCUACAGAGGGUAGGCAAAUGCAAUGAAAACCUGAUGCUCAACAUAAGAAGAAUGUCUCGUCUACAAAAGGAUCUGAUAAUCUUCCUCUGCACAGAGAAAUGGUUCAGGGAUUGCACGCGUUGCAGAUGAACCUUCAAAAAAUUUGUCCAAUGAUGGAGUUAAAGUCUUCAAGCCUACUGCAGAACCUGAGACAAGCGUGCUGUACUCAAUGCUGCAGAGGUAUGUAAGAAUGAUGCGAGAAGGAAGAAGCAAACCUGGGAAAUCUACCAGCAGGGGUCUUAAUCGACAAGCUUAUUGAUAGAGAAGUAUUUUCUCAGGCAACUGACAGUGUGCUGGACACUAGUCCCACUAGUUGGUUUGUGACGGUGUGCUGGCACCAAUGGUAAUGUACAUCCAGCGCCAUGGAAGGUAUCAGCGUCCUCCCAAAGAUCAACAGUGUUGGCUAGACAGUAAUGGAACAGCUAAUCCCACCAGUGAAGGUCAAUCUGCUGACUUGAUUGAUUCUACCAUGAAAAACAAAAAAGAUCUAUUCCCAUUGAGGAACAAGAGAGAACAGGUAAACAAAAGAAAGGGAGACUGAAGGCCGGGAUGGUUACUUGACAGAACACCAUACAGACAAAGAAAAAAAAAAUGUACUCGCGGUUAGUAGAUAAAAUUCGUUGUGUGGGUCAUGAGAGGCCAGGUUUAUGCGCCUUGGUUGGUUGGUAACGAAUGUAAUUAGGGAUGCCAGGUAUGGCGUCAAGCUUCACCGAAUUGUAUUUUGGGUCUUGUUUUGACUGACAUUUCUAAACUCUUUGAAUAAAUACUCAUUGUUCGCUCGAUCGUUGGGGAGUUCAGGCCCCUGCUCGCCCCCUUGUCUCUGCCACUGUCGGUGGGCAGGCUACCUCGCAUGUUUAGACCGUCACCAAGCUGUGUGGAUCUGUCAUCACCAGAACGCGGAUCCAUCCCCUCACCAGAUGUGGACAUGGGUUGGCGCAAGAUCUUCUAACCAAAAUUUUCAUCUCCUUUGAUGGUGGGAGACAGCACAAGGAACAGGAGGUCAUCAUGCAGCAAUUAUCAAAGAAAUUCGUGCUAGGGUAGUGCAGUUAUUUGAAGCUUAAGUUUAUUUAUGAAAGUAUAAGUAGAAAUUUGGCAGACAUGUUUGGCUGCUUCAGCCACAUGACAUUGUAAGUGUCCGUUGGGAUAUUGAUAUUCAAUAAUAAAGAGCCUAGUAGGGGUGUUGUGAGCGGUGAUACUCUUUGGGGGAUAAAACAACAGUUUUACUAAAAAUCAGUCAUCUGUUUUCAAAUUGGCGUCAGGUCGUUUUUUCAGUGAUCUGCGCUGGUCUGGUGAUUUUUUCAGGCCCACUUUGUCUCGGUGCGUAUCUGUGGAUCCGUUUUGGUCAUUUCCGCGCCCGAUUCGCUCUGUUUUUCCGAGGCCCUGUGGAGGCUCUGGUCACUUCUCCACCCAAAUCUGACAACGUGCUCCAGCCGAUGGCCGACCUACGGCGGGGGCCUCCCUUUCUUCUCUCCGUUUGCUGCCUCUCCCCUAGCAUGCGUGUCCCUUCCAUGGCGCCUUCUCUCUCUCCCUCCCCUCCCAUGGUGCCCCUCCCUCCCUUCCCAUGGCACGCCUCCCUCUCCCUCUGUUCCUCACAUGUCGCCCCUCUCCCUCCCUUCUUCCUAUGGCGCUUCAUUCCUCUGUCUUGGUGUCUGUCCCUCUCUCUUUUUGAACCCUGGAACACAAGCAGGUUGAUUGGAGUUCAGUUUUGCAAGUCUGCGGCAGUUAAUUAAAAAGAAGGUGACACCAAUGCUAUGUGAGGCGUUGCAGGUUGGGCCGCUGGAGUAAGAAGCUGCUUCUCCUGCUGCUGCAUAGUGAGUAGUGUCUCAUGUCUGCUUAGUUAGUGAUUGCUUAGUACUCCUUUCUUUGUUAGUGAUUGCUUAGUCCCGCUUUCUUCUUUCUUACAAACUGAUGCAAAGAUUCUGCACAUAGGCCUUCUAGUUCACGCAAACUUAUCCAAAUAAUCCAGUCAGCCCAGUCACUAUUAGCACUUCGGAUCUGCACCAAAUAUGACAUGGUGCGUGUGGCAUCUAUCAUAUUAGUAUAUAUGGUUAGUUGUAUCAUGUUGGUACUAUAGCAAAUAGCAAAUCUUGGAUCUUCCACUAGUAUAUCUAAAGCAGAAUUGCACAAGCCAAGCUGAAAGAGAUAGGGAGGUAGUGUCUACGAUAUAACAAAGGCUAGCUCAGAGAGUGGCAGGGAGCUAGCCUAGUCCGGUGAUGGACUCUCCCAUGGGCUCCUGGUGGUUGCAGUGGUCGCCGUCCUCCUCUGCUACCCUUUUAUUUUAUUUGCUUCAUUAUACAUUUUUGUUGUUAUUCAGUUUUGAGCAUGCAUGGAUACUUGUUUCAUGGUACUUUUUAGCAUAUACAUUCAGAUUUUGUUUUCUAGUUUUUGGGGGCGAAAUCGAACUUGGUAAAUCACAUGGAGGUUCCCCCUUGUGGGCUAGUUCAGUAUGUGUUGUCAUGUUUUUGUGCGGGUAUUUUCACUAUUUUUCUAGCUUAAUAUGACCUUUUGCAGUCCAGGAUUCACGCCCCCCCCCCCCCCCCCCCCCCCGAGAUUAUGUUUGUGUUUUGGUUAGUGUUACCUGAAAUCUCACUCCCAUCCUUCCAUGUGAGAUCAUAUUUUUUGUUUCUCAUCGUUUUGCAGCAGCAAGGGUUGUGGUUUCUAUGGGGCAGAGGUCGUCUAGGGGAUGCUAUGAACCCAACUUAGGUCCUGGUGAUGGUUUCUAAAACAGUGAGACUUGCGGGGAGAGCAGUGCUCAUGUUUUAGCCUUGUUUAGUUGUAUUGCACUCCAGAUCUGAUCUUGUUUAGUCUUUAGUAAAAAAAAAUCACCCAACUGCUUCAAGUUUAUUCAAUCUUAGCAGUAAUACAGAAAAUCAUUAGUUAUCAGUGUUUUUGUGUUUAAUCCAAUCUUAUCUAUCAUUUUUUUUGUCAGCCUUCUUUCUCCCUGUUUUUAGUUCUGUUAUCUGUUUUUUUAGAUCAUUGGUUAUCAUUCAUAAUUCAGUGUGUUUGUAUUUAGUUUAUCAUUCAGCUUUGUAUUUAUUUUUUGUCUGUCAUCUUCUUCUAGUUGAUCAGUCCAUAUUGUCUUUCUUAUCGGUUUUGUCAUUAGUAAUUAGUUACUAGUCUUGUUUUGUCCUCUAUGUUAGUUAGUUCAUCAGUGUAUUUAGUUUUUAGUUAUAAUUUAUAAUUAUUUUGCCUUACUAUUUAGCAUUUUCCAGUUUCCAUAUCAUUCUUCAUUUAUCAGUCAUCUGCAUUGUUUCUUUCUCCCUGUUUUUAGUUCUCAGUUAUCUUUUCUUAGAUCAUUAUUUAUCAUUCAUAUGUCAGUGUGUUUGUAUUUAGUUUAUCAUUUAGUCUUUGUAUUUAUUUUCUGUCUGUCAUCUUCUUCUAGUUGAUCAGUCCAUGGUCUUUCUUAUCGAUUUUGUCAUUAGUAAUUAGUUAUUAGUCUUGUUUUGUCCUCUAUGUUAGUUAGUUCAUCAGUGUAUUUACUUUUCAGAUUUUAAGCCUCUUUUUAUUUCUUAGUAAAUGUUAGUUUAUUAGUCUUGUUUUUGCAUUAAUUAGUUUUGAAAAACUAACCCUAUCUGUGUGUUGAUUCCUCAGUUUUUCUUUUAUUGUUUUCAAUCUUGUUCAUCAGUUCCUUUCAGAUUUUUUGCUCAAUUUGUGUAUUUUUAAAAUUAAACCGUAUCAGUCUUCCAUUUUUUAGGUCGAUCAGUUUCAUUCUUUGUUUUAAUCUAGGUGUAUUUGUUUAUAUCUAGAGCUCCCAAUUAACCUGAUUUAUGAGAAAAGUUUUCAUGGUCCAAACAACGCCUAAAUUGGUUUCGAUUAUGAGGCUAUGCCUUUUUUAAAAUUAUGGUUCUAAAAGCCAGGGCACACGUGCAACGAAUUUUUCAGUGUCACGCUAGCGAAAGCCUUUUCAUUAAUGUGUUCACUUAUUAGGUCUUCAGUCAUUCGAUUGUCAUCUUGAGUCGUUGUAGUUCACUUAUUAGGUUUACAGUCUUCUUUUCUCUUCUGCUAUCUGUUUUAUUCAGUCAUUAUUGUUCAAAUUUCCUCUAAUUUUCUUCAUUUUAUUCAAGUAUAAUUUUUCCUUGAUCUUCUUUUGCUUAGUUACUCUUAGUUCUAGGCCAUACAGAAUGCUUAGUCAUUCUUAGUUUUAGUAAAUCUUCAUUUAUCAACAGUUUUUUAUAGUUUGUUUUUACGUAUAAUUAGUUAACCCUAGUUGUACUCAUAUUGGAUCUUACAUGCUUAUUCCUAUCUAGUUUUCGGUCAGAGACCAGAUGAAAGUAGUUUUCAGACCAGUAUUACUACAUAUAGAAGAAAGGUCAGCCAGCAUAGCGCUGCAAGUUCCACAUUGUGUGCUCGCGCUAGGGAUGGAAUGGAAGUGUCAUAAAUUAUAUCAUGGGAUCAGUGCUCCUUUUUCUAUGAGCUUGUAUCAUUUAGCUAUUAUUCAGUUUCUUGGAGUUUAGGCUUGGAAUGGAUUCGCUAUACCAUGGAUCAUGUGUUAACUUGUAUCAGUGUUGUACUGGCCUCUCAUACUUUUAUGAUUUGGAUGAAUAAGGUAACAAAUUUCUUCUUUUGCAUCAUUGUCCUUUCAUACAUUUCAGAUUUUGAUGAAUUGCAGGAGAUCCUUAUAUUAUUUCUUCAGUGUUUUAUCAGUCAGUGAGCUAGAACCUAGUUCUUGGUCAGUUUAAUCUUUCUUCGGUUUCUAUAUGUUCCUAGGUGAAUUAUCAGUACUGUUCAGUGUUACAUUCGGUGUUUCAUUACUUUCUUUCUUCAGAUUUGUCCAUGCUUUUCAGUUGUGAUAUAUGGCACUUUUGCAAACUGUUUUUUUUUCUUCAGUUCUUCAAAUUUUCUAUCCAGUUUUUUUUCAUUGUCUUAUAUCUCUCACUUUACUUCAUUUGCUUUUUUGUACUCGUACUAAUUCUCAUUUCCUCAUUAUUAUUCUUCAAUCCUUUCUUUUUAUAUGACUUACCACUCUUUCAAUCUUUCGCCCUUGUCAUUUAAUUUUUGCCAGUCUUGUCAUUUAGCCAUUCUUUUCUUAUACUACUGUAGUAAGUUUGAGUGAUGCAAUUUUGAGUUUUGGUUCGCCUUGUCAAUUGUGACAGCGGGGUCAUUCUCAGUUCCUGAUUUUUUUUUCUUGCAGGGUGUUAUUUAAUUGAACGGUUCAGAGUUUGAAGAUGUUACUUAGGGACAACCAGAAUUGUUCGAUAUUUCUCUGAAAAUAAAAGAACCGCUUGAUUAUAUAGAAGACAGGUGUCGACCAUUGCUGAAUUUUUUAUUGAAAAGGCAGUAAGUAUUUUAGGGUACCACAUAGUGAGAAGACACACAAUACCAGAGAGCAAGUUGCGUCAAUCUCUGAGAGAUCAUCAAAGUUCAGUUCGACUACUGUACGACAUGUCACCUUCUGACAUCAGCUGAACACUGCUAUCGACAUGUCACCUUCUGACAUCAGCUGAACACUGCUAUAACUAAAUGCCAGUCUAUAGUUGGCCAGCUAUCCCUGAAUAACUGGAGAAGGCAGGUCCGUAGUUUGGGUAUAAUCUAGUUUGAGUACUAAACAGAAGUGUAUGUACACAGCAAGGUCUUUGUUCAGGUUCAGAGAUACUUGUACUGUUUAGGUUUCAGAGACACUUGUAAACCAUUAACUGAAUUUAGGAUUCUUGUGUCCACGGCCAAGGUCUAUCAGCACAAAAGGCCAAGGUCUAUCAGCACAAAAGGCCAAGGUCACUAGUUUAUUUUUUACAUCUUUGUUUCAGUGUUGUAUUCAGUCAUCUUUCUCUCUA